CGGGGAAUAUUGGACAAUGGGGGGAACCCUGAUCCAGCCAUGCCGCGUGUGUGAAGAAGGCCUUAUGGUUGUAAAGCACUUUAAGCGAGGAGGAGGGUACUGGUAUUAAUACUACCAGGUACUGGACGUUACUCGCAGAAUAAGCACCGGCUAACUCUGUGCCAGCAGCCGCGGUAAUACAGAGGGUGCGAGCGUUAAUCGGAUUUACUGGGCGUAAAGCGUGCGUAGGCGGCUAAUUGAGUCGGAUGUGAAAUCCCCGAGCUUAACUUGGGAAUUGCAUUCGAUACUGGUUAGCUAGAGUGUGGGAGAGGAUGGUAGAAUUCCAGGUGUAGCGGUGAAAUGCGUAGAGAUCUGGAGGAAUACCGAUGGCGAAGGCAGCCAUCUGGCCUAACACUGACGCUGAGGUACGAAAGCAUGGGGAGCAAACAGG
rnacentral:rRNA from 1 species